UCAAGCAGUACCUGGUUUCUCAUAAAUUCUAUUUGCUGACAAGGUCACCGUAUUGACCACUUAAUUUACGGAAUUAUGAUUUUAAUCAGCAUUCAACUGUCGACAUCCUUGUCUAAUCAACUUAUUUUUCAUCAACUUACCUCGUUUUAGAAAUUGUUCAUAGAAUGAACAGCCCAUAUGAGUGGUUAAGAAUGGGUAAAUUGCAUGAAUUUGAGAUAUUUCUUUCUCUUUUUGGUUAAGAUCUCUCAGAAGACUUGUGUACAACAACGAAGGAAUGUACUGAUGUAUCUAAGACCUGUUUCCGAUCUGGGGCACAAGAAUAUGGUAUUUGUAUAUGUAAACCUGAAUAUAUAGGAUUUGGAACCGAUUGUUUAAAAGGAAAUUUGAAACUGGGAUACCAAUGCAAGCGAAAUGAGCAGUGUUUUGUGACAUCUGGUUCCGUUUGUAAGAACGGUACUUGUGUCUGUGGGCCAGGAUAUGUCCAACUGAGUGAUUCGGAGUGUUUUCCACUACAUCUCACAAAAGAUUUGUGCAUAUCGACCAAGG